UACGGAGGGCGCGAGCGUUAAUCGGAUUUACUGGGCGUAAAGGAUGCGUAGGCGGUUAAACAAGUUAUAUGUUAAAUAUAUAGGCUUAACCUGUAGAAAGCAUAUAAAACUGUUUAACUAGAGUGCAGGAGAGGUAAGUGGAAUUCCUAGUGUAGCGGUGAAAUGCGUAGAGAUUAGGAAGAACACCAGUGGCGAAGGCGACUUACUGGACUGUAACUGACGCUGAGGCAUGAGAGCAUGGGGAGCAAACAGG
rnacentral:rRNA from 1 species